rnacentral:lncRNA from 1 species
AUGAGAGCCUUUCCUUUCAGAGACCCCCGCCGCCGCUGCCGCUCCCCAGUGCUCAUCAUCUCCCCCAAAUGCGUUACUGGAGCACAAACCAGAAGCAGCCUUAAUCUGUCAACAUGCCCUUUAAUUGGAAGAAGAAAACAACACGUGCUUUUGGUUGUGCAGAUAUGGAUGUGUUGGUAUGAACGCCGUUUGGGUUUCGGACUCUGUGCUGAUUCUAGGAUGUUGGCGAUGUUGGAGCCGUGGUACGCUCCCAGCCCGGGGCCCCUGUGUGUUCGAGGUGCACGCUGGUGUCAUAAUUAUCUAACACAACGGCGUUGCUGCUCUUAUUAGUAAUUAGCUCCUACCAAAACUGAUUGGUAUGGGUUCCUCCGCUCAUCCCUUUUAAUGUUUAAACAUUUACUUUGUGCUUGAAGGAUUUGUUUGUAUAUAUCUUGUGUGAUGAGCGCUUUUCAAGUAAUUGGCUCCUAGGGGACGACACUUUCUAACAGUUAAAAGGAUAAUUACAGCCCUAUGAAAUGUUAAACUGCCCCGACUGUCUUUUCGCAGGGGCUUAAUUGCAUGCAACAAGUAAGGCAGGCUUUUCAUUUUGUUCCAUCACAGGAACGGACUGAGCUCACACGGAAACACACAGAAAUUUUGUCGAGUUGUAAAUAGCUUCUCAUAUGGUAAUUUUGUUGGACACCAGUGCAGUUUGAAAGGCGUAGCUCUCUCUGAAGGCAAUGCUCAUGGCUUGUUUUUUUCAUGUUGGGAAGUGGAGAAGCAAGGGCUCUCAGGCUGUGCUUUCAUGCUUCAAUGGACUUUUGAAUGUAUUAAUAUGAGACCAUUAAGACGGGGGAAAUGAGACAAUGGGUAACUUUUAAAUGUGGGUUUACAGUGUGAAAAGUGUUGAAAAGGGUUUGUUUACUGUUAACACUAAAGGCAUCACACAUUAAUGUUAGAACACGAAACCUCAGUUGCACAUAAAAUAGAUGUUUAAUCGUGUUUGUGCAUGUUUACAUUUGAUUGUACACAUCUGUAUAAAGGUCCAUUCUAGUGGAUAAACAGCUGCUUUGAUGUCUCAACAUAGGUCCGAAUGAUGCUGAACAAUAUGUUGGACUAGCAAAACAAUAAAGAAUGAGCCUGACUUUAUUGUCAGGUGUUUAAAAUACCAUACAUUGAAAAUGUAAUUGCUUCAUUAUGCUCAGAAUGUUUUUAAGCAUGUCUGAUUUAAUUCUCCUAAUAUAUGGCCUCACAUUUUGUCCUUCCUUCUUUAAUUUGAACUAAUCGUGUAAUGGUCUGUGUCCCUUUAGCUCAUGUUGUUGUGGUUUUCCCUCAGUUUCCAUGGUAACUCCACAGCUGUUUGUAAUUGCGAUCACACACCUGCCGCUCGUCUCCAUCUGGAUUUUUUACCCUGAGUCUAAAUGCUGACAGUGUUUGUCCCGAAGACGUUUACAUUUCAGAUCACCAUUGCAUUUUCUUUAACUUGUCCGUUUCUGCGUGCCCACCUCCCGCUCGCCCCCUGGUUAGUUCUCGUUAGCUAGCACAUUUUCUGUUGCUUUUGAUCCACCCGGUUGUUCUGAUAACAACCUAUAUUCCUUAACUUCUCAGUUUAACGAGCACUGCCUCUCCAUCCUGGACAACAUCUGUCCUGUCAGAACCAGAUCAGUUCCUACUCCCUGGUUUAAUCACAGCCUUCGCAGCCUGAAGCACCAAUCCAGAAAAGUUGAGCGCUUUUGGAAGAAAACCCAUCUCCACGUCCAUCUGCUGCACCUAAAGGAUCUUCUGACCUCCUCUAACUCUGCAGUCAGAGACGUGAGGGUUGCCAAAUUCUCCAACCUGGUGUCCCAGAGCAAAGGGAACCCCAAGGUGCUGUUUAACACCAUCAGCAGCAUCGUCUCUCCUGCCUCUCCUACAGCCUCCAUCCACUCUGUUACAGACUGUGAGAACUUUCUGUCUUUCUUUGUGGACAAAGUCAAUAAGGUUAGCUCUAGCAUCUCUCCUUCAGCCUUAUCGCUGCCUCUCCCGACUCCAACCAGGCCCAUCAUCCUAGAUAGCUUUGCUCCUAUUUGUUUGUCUGAGCUCCUUUAAAGGAAUCUCCUUCCAUCUUUAUGCAGAUGACAUCCAACUGUACAUCUCCUUUAAUGGUAAAUGGUGAAUGGCCUGUAUUUGUAUAGCGCCUUAGGGUUCUACAACCCCCCCCAAGGUUUUUCACAACACAACUAGUCAUUCACCCAUUCACACCCACAUUCAUAUGCUGGUGGGGAUGAGUUACGAUGUAGCCACAGCUGCCCUGGGGUGCACUGACAGAGGCGAGGUUGCCGAGCACAGGCGCCACCGGUCCCUCCGACCACCACCAGCAAGCAAGGUGGAUUAAGUGUCUUUCCCGAGGACACAACAGCAGAAUUCUCUGGUUGGAGCCGGGAUCGAACCUGCAACCUUCCGAUUAAAGACCAAAGGUGACAGAUCAUCUGCUGCUGUGGCCCCCAGACUCUGGACCUCUCUUCCUUUGAGCCUGAGGUCAGUGGAUUCCUAUAAAAGCAGCUGAAAUCUCAUCUGUUCAGGCUUUGGUUGGACCUUCAUCACCACCCUCUCCUUAUUCUGCUCUUGUUCCGUUUUUCCCGGGAUCCACCGAUGUCCCUGUUUCCUAUUAAUUCUCUCCCUCCCUUUAAUUGUUUUAAUGAACAUUUUUUAGUCAUUUUAGACAUUUUUUCAUCUUUCUUUUUUAAAUCUUUUUUUUUAUAUAUUUUAAAUGUUUUGUUUUUGUUUAGUGCAUUGUGAUUUUUAUCUUGAGAGGUAUUUUAUAAAAUAGUUUUGCAAAACAAUAAAAAUAAAACAAAGAUGUAUUGCUUUAAUUAUAUCACAGGACAUGACAAUGACUUUAAUGGGUUUCUGAAAAUCAUACAUACGUUCUAAAAGGGUAAACCUCUGGAAAGAUACUUUAAAUACAGAUUACGCAUAGCACUUAUAGUCUGUAUGAUGNCUUGACCCGUUUCAGAGGCGUUGCGCGUAGAAAAUAGAACCGGCGCGUAAAGGCCGCGACAUGCUGCUCCUGAGACGCGGCCGACUCGCGCUGCUGACGCCUCCAGUGGAAAAGGUUCUGUUGACCACAGCGGUUCCUAUCAGCAGCUAUGAUGUGCUGCUGCAGUAACGUGCUGCUGACGGCUCCUGUGGAAAGCCGGGGUUAGAGAAACUCAUUCAUGCUUUUAUUUCUAGUCGGCUGGACUACUGCAAUGGUCUCCUAACUGGUCUUCCCAAAAGCUGUGAAGCAACUGCAGCUUGUUCAGAAUGCUGCUGCUAGAGUCUUAACAAGAACUAAGAGAACAGAGCACAUCACUCCUGUUCUUAGAUCCCUGCGAUGGUUACCAGUAAACUACAGAACAUACUUCAAAGUGCUCCUACUAG